rnacentral:rRNA from 1 species
AGUGAACGCUGGCGGCAGGCCUAAUACAUGCAAGUCGAACGGCAGCACAGCAGAGCUUGCUCUGUGGGUGGCGAGUGGCGGACGGGUGAGGAAUACAUGGGAAUCUGCCCAGUCGUGGGGGAUAACGUAGGGAAACUUACGCUAAUACCGCAUGCGCCCUUCGGGGGAAAGCCGGGGACCUUCGGGCCUGGCGCGAUUGGAUGAGCCCAUGUCGGAUUAGCUAGUUGGCGGGGUAAUGGCCCACCAAGGCGACGAUCCGUAGCUGGUCUGAGAGGAUGAUCAGCCACACUGGAACUGAGACACGGUCCAGACUCCUACGGGAGGCAGCAGUAGGGAAUAUUGGACAAUGGGCGGCAAGCCUGAUCCAGCCAUGCCGCGUGAGUGAAGAAGGCCCUCGGGUUGUAAAGCUCUUUUGUCCGGAAAGAAAAGCGCCGGGUUAAUACCCUGGUGUCCUGACGGUACCGGAAGAAUAAGCACCGGCUAACUUCGUGCCAGCA